rnacentral:rRNA from 1 species
UACGUAGGGGGCAAGCGUUAUCCGGAAUUACUGGGUGUAAAGGGUGAGUAGGCGGCAUGGUAAGCCAGAUGUGAAAGCCUUGGGCUUAACCCGAGGAUUGCAUUUGGAACUAUCAAGCUAGAGUACAGGAGAGGAAAGCGGAAUUCCUAGUGUAGCGGUGAAAUGCGUAGAUAUUAGGAAGAACACCAGUGGCGAAGGCGGCUUGCUGGACUGAAACUGACGCUGAGGCACGAAAGCGUGGGGAGCGAACAGG